ensembl:misc_RNA Metazoa_SRP Metazoan signal recognition particle RNA
GCCGGGUGCGGUGGCAUGUGCCUGUAAUCCAAGUCACUGGGAGGCUGAGGUUGGUGGAUCAAGUGAGCUGAGGAGCUCUGGGCUGCAGCACACUAUGUUGAACGGGUGUCCACGCUAAGUUCGGUAUCGAUAUGGUGUUCCAGGGGGAGCCCGGGACCACCAGGUUGUCUAAGGAGGGGUGAACCGGCCCAGGUCGGAAACGAAGCAGGUCAAAUCCCCCGUGCUGUCCAGUAGUUGGAUAAUACCUGUGAGUAGAUGCUGCAGUGCAGCCUUGGCAAAACAUCGAGACCUAAUCUUUA